AAGAAAGUAAGAAAGGGCGUAUGGCGGAUGCCUAGGCUCACGGAGGCGAUGAAGGACGUGAUAAGCUGCGAUAAGCUUCGGGUAGGUGCAAAUAACCUUUGAUCCGGAGAUUUCC
rnacentral:rRNA from 1 species